GCCCCGCCCGCCCCACCCGGGGCCCGUCACGUGUAUUGGGGAGUGGGUGGGAAGAUUCAGGAGCACAGAAGCAGGGAGCCUGGAAGGGGGACCGAAUGAAGACCCAGCCCUGUGCCCUGUGGGGACAUCAGUCAGCCUCUGUAGGCCCGCUGAACCGUGAGUCAUGGGUGCACAGCCCUCGCCAAGAACAAGUUAUGGGAUCGUCUCUGCAAGCUCUGAGCCCUUCCCAGCCCGCACUCCCACCACGAGUUCAGCGACGGAGCAGCGCAGAAGAGAAACCCUCCACUUCUCCCUUCUCUGGUUUCCCCAGAGUUCUGCUACUUACCUGGAGAGCCUGGUGGCUUGUGCUGGCUGCUACACCUCUGAACCUGCACAGUCCCAACCCCAGUAAGGGAAGCGUCUCAGGCAGGCACCAUUCUUCAAGGCCGGUCUCCGUCCCUCCGACCACCAAGCUCCCCUCCACUGCGUCCUAGCUGCCACUACAACUUGGGUUUUAUUUACCGCACGUGUUGUUCAGUAUCCCUUUUUUCAGCCCUAAACUUGCCUAGGGUUGUGCCAUGCAGGGAGCAGAAGCAGAAUCAAGAGGUGACCCACACACUCAAGCUUGAUCUCCAACUUGAGAUCAUUCCUGGAGCUCCUCGCCCUCUGUGCCGUACCCAGUGGCCCCUUCCUCUGUUUUCUCUUGCUUAGGCUUGAGUGGCCGGUCACUGCCCAUUCUGCCCAGCUCCUCUCUGGUUCUCAGCUCGGAUCUCUGCCCCGUUCCAUUCUCCCAACUCAGCAAAUUCCUAGAGAAACAGCGAGUGAGACUUGGGCACAGGCUGGGCAGAGGCUUGGCUGAACACCAGGACAUUCAGCUUGGGAAAGUAGUGGGGGACGUGUGGAGAUAAGGAAGGAAAAAUGGAAGCUCAGGGGGUUGUAACAGAGGUAACCAAGCAGCUAGAGGCAGCAACUGAUGUUUAGCCAAGUACUUCCCUAACAAGGCACUGAUAGGACUUCAGCCACUGGACGACUGACAGUCUGAGGAAAGCCACCUCCCACUAGCGCACUGAGCACCGAGCUAACUCUACUCCACGGCAACUGUAUCCUUAAGGUGUGCACACACCUUAGCCCAGUCAGACAAUGGUGAAGGGACUGGAAGGGGCCCACAUGUAUCUGGUGCCACAAGUGUCUGCAUCACAGAUCACAUCUCCGGUCACAGGUGUGCCUGAGAGGAAGCAGGCUGACACAGCAUGUGACCUCGGCCACUGCCACCAGCACCAUGUGGCUGAGACCAGCAGCACGCAUGACCUUCCUCAUGGGUGUACCGUGUGCUUGGGUGUGUGGCUGGCUUUUUUUUUUUUCCUGGCUUUGAUGGGGAAGAUGAAGUCAGCAUUUGGGAUAGAGCUGGACUUAGCUUCCUUCCUCUGCCUUGGCCAGAGUCCCCCAGAGCCGUGAGUAGGUGACAGCUUCUUCAGGUCUCCGGGGGAAUUGAGGGAGGUCUUCAAGCUGCAUUCCAUUGCAAGGAAGACCAGGUGGCAGUGUGGCUCUUGAUCGCCCGGUGUUUUGGAGUAGGAUCAUUAACAUAUCUAUCCCUUCAUCCCAUCCCAUAGCUUUAUUAUUCAGGAAGUAGGGUCACCAUUAAAUACAGUUGGCUGUGUAAGUGGCCAGGAAAGUCAACUGAAUCCAGUCAGGAAGAUGGCUUGGGGGCUGGAUGCUGGGAUCUCCACACGGGAAUGUAGGGCUCCGACUCAUGUGCUUACAAGACAUCUGGAAGGGACUGGAUGCUGAUACAGCUGCAAGUGUGAAAUCAUGAUUGUCUGGAACCAUUUCCUCCCGGACCCCAGGUUCCUGGGAAAUUCUGCUUUUCCAUGUCCACAAAGCAGCAAACCUUACCGGACCUCACUGUCGGGAAUGAAGGUCAACUGUUGUGGAUAUUUAUCUGAAGACUGUUAAAACCCCUUUAAAUAUUUUUAGGGGUUUCUACCCCACUUAGAGCACAUAUAUUCCCAAAUAAAGACACAGAAACCUUUAGGCUUAUAAUAAGCUCAAAGCACUAGAGCUGGGCGGUUAUCAGUCCUCUGUGGGAUUCUGUCAGCUUCCCUGUGGUGACCCUGAGGUGUCACUGCCAUGUCCCACUUGGGCAGCUCCUACUCUACCAGGCCAGCCCUCAUGAAAUGAGCUCAUAACCCGCCUACCCCAUGGCAGCUUCCUUCUUCCUCCUCGAUCUCCUGAGUCCUGCCUGGGACUCCAAGCCCAGGAACCUUUGCUCCUACCCCACCCUCCCUUCCCACUCUCUUCUGCGCAGCCUAGGCUGUAAGCAUCUUCAUUAACCAAUCGGAUAACUUGGGAGGCAACGUAAUUGUUUCAUAAUUGUCCUUACUGUAUGUUGCUUAUUAUUGUAAGAGAUUUUUUAUGUAUGUAAAAAUGGAAAUCUGGGGGGAGGGGUCUGGUGCUGCUCUGUGGCCUCACAUACACUGAGCUGAGUGAGGUAUGCAAACCUUGCCCCUCGAGUUAAAACUAUUGGUUAAACAAAACUGUAGAUAGCCAAUUACUGGGAGGAAUAGAAAGAGGUCCAGUUUGAGUUAAGGGGCUGGGGGAUCACAGGUAGGGACCGUGAGGUGGAGAGAGGCGAGAGAGGAGGAGUGCAGAGGAGAACGUGGAAAGAAAGGGAAACUCCACUAGUCCUGAAGGACCAGCAGUGUGAACGGCUCCCCAGGAGGCCAGACUGACUAACAGAAAUAAUCCCCUACAGUCGACUAGCCCAUGGGUACUGGGGGAGGGGCAGGAAAGCCAGCAGCUGAGGCGGCUCCAGUGAGGUGUCCUGCGGGCAGCAAGGUCACAGGGUUGUCCAGAACCGCGUGUGUGCUGGCUGUUCCCAGGAUCCUUCUUCUAGGGGUCUUUGGCUCUGAGCACUGUAUCCUUGAAUGACCCUUCGAGUUCAAAGGCAGGGAAGAGAGAGAACUUGACCAAGAAGAGUAAGGGCGACUGAGGGCACAGAAGAGAGUGAAGAGAGGCCAGAGGGUGAGCUGAGGAAGUGUCCCAGGGAAGCAAGCGCAGGAAACAGGACCUGGCUUCCAGGAAACAGGACCUGGCGUCUGUAUGUGGCUGCCUAGCUCAGCACAGACUUCCCCUCAUCCUUCAGUGAGGAGACAGGGCUCGUGGGCGCUGUUGGGCUUGGCUAGUGGAGUAGGCAGCCAAUUCCAGAGCCUGUUCUCACUCCCUCAACAGUAGUUCUGGGAAGGACUGAAGUGGCUUCUUCAAAGGUUUUGAGAAGGAAUGACAAAGAACAUGGGCUUCUGACGUUUCUCCUUUUGCCCAGUUACUGUGUAGACAAGACACUGCCUAAGACGGGGGUCGGGUCAGCGUGGCCAACAUGCAAGGUGGAGCGCUCAGUGGCAGGGUAAGGGGAACCUGGGAAGGAAAGAGCUUGAGAAGACGGAAGAGGCUACAGGGCUCCGACACUGCAGCAAGAAGGGUCUGGGGCCUUCAAACUCUCAGCCUGGAGACAUGGGUGUGGGGAGACAGGAGGGGGAGGGAGGACAUUUCUAUCUCGUGACAAAAGAAAGUCACACAAUUGUUUUGUUCUCCGCUCUGGAGCGGGUGGGCGCCUGUAUUUACCAGAGGGACUGAGGUCGCUGUGGCAACCACACAUCUGGGCCCCGGGAUCCAGAUGUGCUGUAUCCAGAAGCCAUAGCAGAAUGAUGAGGCAAACAUUGGGCUCCCCAGUCCUGGCCCCCACAGCCAGGGAGAGGACCGAGCUUGGAGUGUAGGGGGGGAGGGAAGCAUGAGGGGGAGAGUAGAGGUGGAGGGGCAGGGCGAGGAGGUCGGACCGUGGAGUGGGUAGGAGAGAGGACAGGACAGAGCAAGACCACAGUACAGGGCUGGCGGGAAGAGAUGCGAAGACCAAGGAACAGGACGAUGACAAAAACUGGGAAGGGACACAGAACUAAGCAGGCAGCAGAUCAGUGGGCAGAGGGUGAAGGCAAGGGAGAAGCUCAGAGACAGCAGGGCGGGGACAACAGACUGAAGACCCCAAGGAACUAUGAGCCCAGAGCCGACCAGGAAGCAGAGGGUCUGGGACAGGAAGGGGGUGUUUAUGUGUCAGCCUGACAGUGGCCUGGCAUGCUGACAUAGCACUGGACAGCACAGUGGACAGGAGGAAACCUGUACUGGCCUGCAGGGCAGCAGCCGAGUCCACUUGCACCUGCCGCCCUGCAACCCAGGGCGCUCUGGGCUCAUAGUUCCUUGGGGUCUUCUCUGCAUCUCUCCUCAGCCCCCUGGAUGCCUCUCCCCCAACCAAGACAUGUUUGAGGGCCCCAGUCUUCCACCACUCAGAAGGGGUCCAGGGGGACCAUUCCAGAGCCCUCAGUGUAGGGAGCCAGCACUUGGGAAGCACCCUUCCCAAAUGGGUCAAGGAAGUGAUGGGUGCAAGUUUUAAGCAGAUCUAGGACAGAGGCAGGGCCCAAUAGUACAGCCCAAGCAUCAAGUUUCACAGUGCUACCCUCAAGAGUAGGGAGGUGGGUCACAUCUUUAAGAGGCAGGGCCUAGGUGUUUAAGGACAUCAGCUAAUGUGGGGCCAUGAAGGGGCCCAGGACCAGGCCAUCUGCUUCCCUCACUCCCUGGGUAAGGAGCUCAGGGAUCCUGGGACAGGAGGUGGCUAUGGACCAGAGUUGCCCUCUGGAGAGAGGAGAGGCUGAGUUCCUGGGAGCCCUGUUCCAGGUUGCCAUGGUUCCCCGUCUGUUUUCACCCCAAACACAGAAGGGGUGGGUAAAGGGCGGAGGGAAAGCCUGGCUGGACACGUGAGGUCCUUCCUCCCUCCUCCAGGGCUGGGCUUAGAGCCAGGCAGCCCCUGUCCAGUCAUCUGGGCCUGGAGCCCAGGUCCAGCUCACACCCUCCAGCUGACCCAGGCCACUCCUGUAGGGUCAGGCCUAAGGCACUGCUGCAAGGGGAACGAUGGCAGGGGACCCAGCAGUCAGCGGGCUGGGGCCCUCCUCUGGAUCUGGUCCCUUUCCUCCCACUCGGAGCACACAGCCCUUCCUUGCUGCCUGACCCACUGUCUCCAUCCAUCUGGACCUCCCUCAGGUCUGUCUUCUUCAGCUCAGAGCCAAGAGGAUGUCCCAUGCCAUGCCCCUUCCUUCUCUCCCUCCUGCCCGUCCAGGACCCCGCCUUCCCGGGCUCCAGCCCUCUGGCCCCCACGCCUUUGUUUGUAUGGACAGCUCACCCUGGAAAGCAAGGGGGACCUGCGGCAGAGUGAGGGCAGGAGCUGCUGUGCACCCUGAAGGGCGUGGGGCCCCCUGUCCUUCCUGUUUACUCAGACACAUUCUGGUGAUCUGUACUAUCGCUGUCACGCCACAGACAGCUAGACAGACAUGCCCUAGAGCUGCAGGGGUGGGGUGCGGGGAUGACAGGAGUCUGGCUCCGUCCCACCCACCAUGCCAUCUUCAGCACUGGGUCCUCUGAUGCUGCCCUAUACCAGUCACACACUAGGACGGCGGCCACCCUUCCUUUACACCCCUCCAAGUUGUUUAUUUAAUAAUAAUAAUAAAAAAGAUAUGCACACACAUAACUGCCUUGUGCCACCCGAGACCAUCCCUUGUCCCACCUGGGGACCAAGUCCCACCUUUACUCCCGAAUAGAUAAAGGUACAGGUACAGAAGAGGGUACAGGAGCCACCCUCACGCAGUGCCCUCGGAGAAAGAGGACUGGGGGUGCAGGAACCAGAGGAGCUCUAUAUUCCGGAGAGAGUGAGAAGAGAGGUGAACCACCCACCCAUGUCCCGCCAAGUGCUUAAUCCCCACACCCCACCUUCCUUUACCAACUGCCCCGAGCCCCAGGAUCAGGCUCCCCAACCCGGUUCU